rnacentral:rRNA from 1 species
GGCUCAGGAUGAACGCUAGCGGCAGGCCUAAUACAUGCAAGUCGAGCGGCAAGUUGAGUAGCAAUACUUGACCUAGAGCGGCGCACGGGUGCGUUACGCGUAUGCAACCUACCUUAUACUGUGGGAUAGCCCGGAGAAAUCCGGAUUAAUACCGCAUGGUAUUGAGAGAUGGCAUCAUCACUCAAUUAAAGAUUUAUCGGUAUAAGAUGGGCAUGCGUAGGAUUAGCUAGUUGGUAAGGUAACGGCUUACCAAGGCUACGAUCCUUAGGGGUUCUGAGAGGAAGGUCCCCCACACUGGCACUGAGAUACGGGCCAGACUCCUACGGGAGGCAGCAGUAGGGAAUAUUGGGCAAUGGUCGGAAGACUGACCCAGCCAUGCUGCGUGCAGGAAGACGGCCCUCUGGGUUGUAAACUGCUUUUAUCAGGGAAGAAAAAGGCCAUGCGUGGCAAAUUGCCGGUACCUGAUGAAUAAGCACCGGCUAACUCCGUG